CCCAUCACUCUCUCCCUCUCAUCCCCAAAAAAACUCUCAUGAACUCUGCACGAUCUCCUUGGUCCACCCCACCCGGCUCCUCUCCCCACGAUCUCCUCGCCGCCGCCCCCACCCACGCCGGCCGGUUCCGGCGAGCACCAGCCGCGCGCAACACCCCCACCUCCUCCUCCUCCCCCUCCCUUCCCCUUCCUCCUCCGCUCGCCCCUUCUCUGUCCUCCUUCCUCCCGGCAGCCGGCGAUGGGCGCGGACGAGGAGCACUAGUCCCCCGCGCGGAAGCGCGAGCACAAGGAGGGGGAGGAGCCCGCGGCCGCCAAUGAGAAGCGCCCGCGCACGGCGGACGAGUCAGAGGGCGCCUCGCUGCUGGGGCUCGCCAACUACGCAGAUGAGGAGGAGGAGCGCGGGGCCCCGAGGGGGCACGCGAACGGCCGGGCCCGGGAGGACGACGAGGAGGAGGAAGACGAUGAGGAUGAGGAGGAGCACGAGAGGAGGGCUCCGGAGAGGCGGCCCAGGCAGGUCGAGCUGCGCCGGGACUGCCCCAACCCCGACAGGUAUACUGUCUUUAGUUGCAAUGGAGGGGGCUAAGAUUGUUGGCGAUGCAGUGGUCUCUUACUAGUCACUAAUUAGUCAUACAAGCCAUAAAUGAUGCAUCUGGACCCUACCGCGAACGGCGCGACCGGGCGGGGCGCGGGCGCCACCACUAGACAUGGCCCCGUACCGUCUUGUGGCAGGUCCUCGGGCUGUCCAGGCAAGGGCAAGGUGAAUGUUAUUCAUUCGAAUUCGUGUACUGCAAACUUUUUCCUUUGUGUCCACUGUAAAAGUUGAAGGAUGAGUGCGUCUCAACUCAAGUGUAUACAUUGAUUCAGUGUUGUACUGUUAGAUUAGCUCGUCACCUUCAGUAACUGCUACAAGCAGAGCUAUAUGUAUCCCUGUUCUGAACUUGGAUGAAUUCAAGUCAACCGUUCAUCUUGUGUUCUGAACUUAAGAUUUUAUCAGUGUGAGGUUUCCUUGAAAAAAUGUGUGGUGGUUUUCUCCCCACGCCGAUGUAGCGGCCCGCGCAUUGGAGACACGAGCAUCGCCAUGGUUUGCUGCAGAAUCUGAAACCAACCAAUUAGAACCUGAAACCUCAUGGUCAACUCAGUCUGAAUAAUAUUGCCUUGUACUACUAUUUGUAAUUUUGGUCAUGUUUAUCUAUUUUGAUUUCUAGUUCUACAUAGCUGUGCAAGUGAGCUAUAGUUGUUUAUUCUGUGAUAUGGGAUACUUUUCUGGUUAGUUAUAAGCAAUGAACAUUUAGCCCGGCUUGCUUGAUCCUGGCUCCACCAAUAAUAUAUGUAGCUAUCUUGCUUAACUUUUCAUCAUGUAUGAUAAAAAUGUGAGGCUCUAGUUAGGUCUCUUCUCUGAACUUUAUUGCCUCAUGGGAUGUAGUGGUCUCUCUGAUUCCAUAAGCUGUAAUUAAUCAUAUCCAAAACACAAAUUAUCUGUCCCGGUUUAUUUUCUUGGAUUUAAACAAUGGAUUGAUCUCUUAGCCACCAAUAUAUCCUGUAAGCUGUAAUCAAUAGUAUCCAAAUGGAAUGGGACCUUUCUUUUAUUUGAAACUUCCAAAUCAAGUGUUUUCCUUGAAAUAUAUUCACGGUGGUGUAAGUGAUUUAGCUUUUGAACAGAAACUUUUACAAGGUUCUAGUUGCUUUGACAGUACAAUAUGUUCUACUGUACAUUAUAUUUCCAUAUCUAUAUAAUUUAGUUUGAGAAAGUAACUUAAGGAGGUGUAUCCCUUUUUAUAAUUCCUCUACACUACUCAAUCGCUAUCUGCCUCUAAUUGUUAUAGUGACAUCACUUAUGGGUGCGGCGCUAAAUUCUUGAGAACCUGCUCUAAUCAUCAUACUUUCCAUCCCUCCGUUCAGAUGUAUUACUGUUUCUGAACUAUCAGGCACAAAGGAUGCCUAGCCUUGUUCAUCUGGUGAUCACUGUAUUGGAACCUGAAGGAUAUUUAGCCUUGUCAUCAUGAUGGCCGUUGUCUUCCUUUUUCCUGAAUAUUAUGACCAGCUGAUUAAAGCCUGAAACUGAAGCUUGAUCUUACUUAAAAUUGACCACAGCCUAAUUUUUAUGCUGCAGUUAGGCCUUGGAUAGAAAAUAAACGUGUUAUGCAGGUGAUAUUUCACUAUAUUAUUUUAGUUUUGGAAAUGCACAUUCACGGAUUAUAGUAGCGUUUCUGUUUACUGAAUUUCGUUCUGCUGUUUUUUUUCAUAUCGCUCAUUCUGUUGGCAUGUUUACUCAAAUGUGCCUAAUGUGGUGAGAUCCGGCCGGGCGGCGCCUCGGUCUGUCCUGUCGCGGUAGAUCUCGCUGGUGUAGGGUAGAUGUUGACCCACCAUGGCAAUUCAUAGAUGUAGAGACGCACGGGGAGCACAUGAGCAUGGUUUCAGAUCAGGCUCCUGUGACGAACCCCAUCCGGUCCAGAAGCUUCCAGGUCUAGCGUAUCGGCGUGAACGCCAUCUCUUUCAGAAUAUCAAGUCUGUCAUUGCCUUUACCAUGUUUCUUAAAGCCUUUGGUGGUCUCCUUUUCAUCAUCAGCAGCUCGUUCGGAGCAGUCGUACUGGGCAAUGGAUAAAAUCUACUCUGGAUAGUUGACAGAGGGAGUACAUGCUAAGUUGACUUUUUUCCUGCGGAUUUGCUUAUCGUGAAGAUGCUUGCAAGGAUGCAGAGGGAGGGGAUCAUUUGGAGAGAUAGGAUGCCACUAUUUGGUGUUUUUAUGCAUUUUGGUUUGCUUGUAACUGUGUUUGCACUAGCUGGGAGUAAGUGACUUGGCAAGAAGUGUAGGUGUUUUAGUUGAAGGCAUGAAAAGCCAUGAAAAUAUGUAUGCUCUUAACAGAUGUGCUCUAAUGCUGCUGGUUUAUUAUAAAUCUUGGAUCAGUACUGAUGUGUAA